UGUGGACACAGACUCUAAUGGACACUGGGAGACAUGGGGACACAAAUACUAGGGGACACUGGGUGACAUGGGGACACUGAGACCCCAUGUCUCCCAGCCAGUGUCCCUAGUAUCUCCGUGUCCCCAUGUCUCCCAGUGUCCCUGGUGUCUCUCAGUGUCU